CGCAAGCUGUUUGCGCAUAUCAUUCGGGGGCCCCUGGGCAUGCAACUUUGGAUUGCAAGGCGCUUAAGCAUAAAGUUCAGGAUAUGGUUGAGUCUGGAGAAAUCGUGAUCAGAAAGAGGGAGCCGCAAGGGCCAAACGUAAAUCAAAACCCCUUGCCAGAGCAUGUUGGGGUUAUUAUGGACGAUGCGGAGUACGAGGAACAAAUCAAGAAAUUGGCAAUAGAAGCUGAAGUGUUUGGGGUCACGGACCAACCAUUUGUCAUAGAGUUGCCAUUCGAAGAAGAUAA
rnacentral:lncRNA from 1 species